AACUAACGCUGGCGGCGUGCCUAACACAUGCAAGUCGUACGAGAAAGUCGGCUUCGGCUGGUGAGUAAAGUGGCGCACGGGUGAGUAACGCGUGGAUAAUCUGCCCUUAAGUGUGGAAUAACGUACCGAAAGGUGCGCUAAUACCGCAUAAUGCCUGGCAACACAAGUUGUCCGGCCAAAGAAGGCCUCUGUUUACAAGCUUUCGCUUCAGGAUGAGUCCGCGUACCAUUAGCUUGUUGGUGGGGUAAUGGCCUACCAAGGCUGCGAUGGUUAGCUGGUCUGAGAGGAUGAUCAGCCACACUGGAACUGAGACACGGUCCAGACUCCUACGGGAGGCAGCAGUGAGGAAUAUUGCGCAAUGGGGGCAACCCUGACGCAGCAACGCCGCGUGAGUGAGGAAGGUUUUCGGACUGUAAAGCUCUGUCGAGCGGGAAGAAGUGUACCAUGGCUAAUAUCCAUGAUAUUUGACGGUACCGCUAGAGG
rnacentral:rRNA from 1 species